UUCAUAGGUUUUCUCUUUUUGGUUCUUGAAACUGUUUUUUUCCCUUACUAUAACCUGCUUUCAGGGUACAUUUUUGUGAAAGCUUGGAAACAGUAGGAUCAGCUGAGUCUGUCUUGGGCAAAGUAAGCAUACCCAGCAAAACAGAAAAAAAGGGCAAGAAGAAAACCUGGGAGGUGAAUUGAUUUCCUUAGGUCAGAUAUCACCAUCAAGGAAGACCUAGGACGACAGCUGUGUUUGCUGGCCACCUGACAGAUCUCUCCUAGUGAAAGGAUGAGCCCUCCCAGGUGGUGAAGCAACUCAAGAUCUUUCCUGGCCCAAAUGCAAUCACUGAAUCCAGCUGCAAAACACACAGACCCCAGGCGAGGCACAUCUCUGCCUUAUGGGUGCUCUGCUGAGCCCUGCUGCUGCCUGCUCCUUCUCAUUUUGGACCUUCUUUUGGAGAGGGCUCAUCUUCUGCCUUGUCUUCCUGCAGAUUGGUCUUUCAAAACAGGCUUGGGAGAGGCAGCUGCAGCCCUAAAAUGGCUGUGUUGUAGUAGGCUGCAGCUAGUACUGCCUCACUGCCUUCCUCCAGCUGAUAUGCACACCAGAAAUGGGGAAAAGCAUUAAAACACACCUACACACAAAAACCUGUGGACUGGAAGCAAACAAGAAAAUUGCUGCAUCUUCUUGGGAGAUACUGAAAUUAUGGGGACAUACAGAUAAAUUGCUAGAUUUUCAGAGGAAGGUAAUAGUUGCUGUGUGCCUCGGUGGUUCGGAGGUUGGAAGGAUGCUUCAUGCAGCUGAUACGCUGGCUGCACUGUGCAUAGUGACAACUGAAAUACGGAUCCUGGGAUGCUGUGCUGGUAAUGUGGAUUAAUGUUAAACAUGCUCAAGGGCAGCGUGAGAAGAGAAGACCUCUGCCCUGGUGCAAAUGUUUGCAGCUGAGCCCUUUCCUCACAGUAUUUGCCCAAACAGCUCAUCAGACCUCUGUCCAAGUACAACAAGUACAUGCUGGAAGUAGCUACGCUUACAGGGAGUGUAUACAAAAAGUAUUCUCAGGAUAGAAAAAAAAUGGUUUGUUGACACAGGAAUUUCUCUCUAUUAUAUUGACAAUUUCAAUGAACUUUUCCUGUAGGUUUCUGAGGUUCAGGAUGGCUUUUUCUGAGAGAAUGGGGAUAUUUCUUGGGUUGUCAACAGUUUUCACCUGAGACGCUGGUUUAAGUCAGUACUCCUCUAAACUCAGAAAAUCUUAAGCCUUAUUCCUUCAGCUAAUCAAAGAAAUGUGAUGAUUACUUGGCUGUUAUCUAUGACACGGUGUCUUGAUUUUUUCCUACCAAAACAGUGAAAUGAACAGAUUUUCCAUAGUCAAAUAUUUGUGCUGUUUAUUUUGCAAAACAGUCGUUUUCUCACCAACGCCCAAUUCACAUCUUUCUGGUUAGUUCAAGUAACUGGGAAAGGGGCUCUGUAAGGUGUGGUAUGGCAAGGAUUGGAUUGCAAUUUUAUUAAAUUUUUCCCCAGAGUCAAGGAAGGAGGAAGUUGAUUAUCUUGUAAUUGGUCUCUCUCUGGGGUGAUGCACUUGUUAAAUCCUUAUAUGUGAUGGGACUAUCUAGUUACACUGAACAGAUUACCUGCUGAUUGCUACUUCUGGGAUUUACAGAUAAUGCUGAAUGCCAAAAUCUUUCUGAACUGUGAGUGGAAGAAUUAAUUCCCACUGCCUUCAUUUACUUUCUAAUGACAGCUAAUACUCUAUCUAGGUUUCAUUGUUUCCAAGCAUAGAUACUACAAAAUCUCUUUUGAACGAAGCAGACAGGAUUUGCUGGCAUUUCUGCCUUUUGCUUUGAUGUGAUAAGGAAUUGUUUGCUUCCUAGCUGAAUAUCCAUGACUUGCUGUUCACUCUUGAUGAAGCAGCCAGGCUUCAUCCUCUGAGGCACUUUCUCUUCUGUGUUUGGAGAUGGGUGUUACCUCUAAGGUCAGAAUUGGGUACAAAUUUCUGUGGUAUUUCAGGAGAUGUUUAUCCAGGGAUUUUAUCUUGGACUUUUUUUGCUACCUAGAUGGUAAAGUACUUUUUCUGUUUCUGUUGGGAUGUUAAACUUCCUCUGUGAUAUUUCUCACACUUUUUAUUUUAUUUUCAGUGUAAAAUAACCACAUGUAAUAGAAAGAAGGGCUAGGCGCAUUCAGACCUGAUGUAAGCAGUUAAGAGCAAUUAUUUCCAGGAGAGUGGUGGCAGAACUGAAACUGGCCCAAAAAAAUCUCUCUUAUGAGCUGGCUCCCUGGCAUGCCUCCUCCCCUGGCCAAAAUACUGUAAUCCCUAUGGCUGGUUUGCUGUGCACCAAGGUGCUCCUCACUUACAGGGCUUUGGUAGUAAACAGCGAGUGGUGGGGAUGAAUGGGGCUAGGGGAUGGGAGAGGAGGGGAAGAGGGGGCUGAUGUAUUCUUACCACAGGGAAGCAAAGCAGAACACAAUGCUGAGUAUCAUUGCAUAACAGAUGAUGCAUUGUACAGCUUGUACCCUCUCCUAAAGAGCAGAGGUGGGCACGCCAAGGAAGGCUUGAGCCUGGCUCCCAGUAAGCGCCUGGCUCUGGCCUGCAUCCACGGCUGCAAAUAAAGAUGAGUUAAGGAA